UACGGGAGGCAGCAGUUAGGAAUAUUCCGCAAUGGGCGAAAGCCUGACGGAGCGAUGCCACGUGAAGGAUGAAGGUCUAUGGAUUGUAAACUUCUAUGUAUAUGUAGAAAUAUGUAUACUGAAAAAGUCACGACUAACUAUGUGCCAGCAGCCGCGGUAAU
rnacentral:rRNA from 1 species